UACGUAGGGUGCAAGCGUUGUCCGGAAUUAUUGGGCGUAAAGAGCUCGUAGGCGGUCUGUCGCGUCGGAUGUGAAAACCCAGGGCUCAACCCUGGGCCUGCAUUCGAUACGGGCAGACUAGAGUUCGGUAGGGGAGACGUGGAAUUCCUGGGUGUAGCGGUGAAAUGCGCAGAUAUCAGGAGGAACACCGGUGGCGAAGGCGGCUCACUGGCCCGAUACUGACGCUGAGGUGCGAAAGCGUGGGGAGCAAACAGG
rnacentral:rRNA from 1 species